ensembl:snRNA U2 U2 spliceosomal RNA
AUCGCUUCUCGGCCUUUUGGCUAAGAUCAAGUGUAGAAUUAAAAAUGUUAACCAAAAGUUCUAUGAUCCACAAAUAAAGGUAGUAUUCAUUAUUCAUUUUUGGAUAACUUUU